rnacentral:tRNA from 1 species
GCUCCCUUCGUCUAGCGGUCAGGACGCCGGCCUCUCACGCCGGUAACAGGGGUUCGAUCCCCCUAGGGAGCGCCA